GUUGGUAUUUUAAAACCUAGUUAAUAUUCAAAUAGUGAAGUUUAAUAUGUCCCCUACACAAGGAUGAUAUGCAAUUUUGUGACAUAUUUCAUAUUUUU
rnacentral:snRNA from 2 species